AUGGGGUGCAGCAGGCGAGAAAACUUUGCAAUGUGCGAAAGCACGACAAGGUUAAUCCGAGUGUUUUCUGCUAAAGAAAUCUUUUGUUAGUUCUAAAACCACUAUCGAAUAAGGGGUGGGCAAGUUCUGGUGUCAGCCGCCGCGGUAAAACCAGCACCUCAAGUGGUCAGGAUGAUUAUUGGGCCUAAAGCAUCCGUAGCCGGCUAUGUUAGUUUUCGGUUAAAUCCAUGUGCUCAACACAUGGGCUGCCGAGAAUACUGCAUAGCUAGGGAGUGGGAGAGGUAGACGGUACUCGGUAGGAAGGGGUAAAAUCCUUUGAUCUAUCGAUGACCACCAGUGGCGAAGGCGGUCUACCAGAACACGUCCGACGGUGAGGGAUGAAAGCUGGGGGAGCAAACCGGAUUAGAUACCCGGGUAGUCCCAGCUGUAAACUAUGCAAACUCAGUGAUGCAUUGGCUUGUGGCCAGUGCAGUGCCGCAGAGAAGUCGUUAAGUUUGCCGCCUGGGAAGUACGUACGCAAGUAUGAAACUUAAAGGAAUUGGCGGGGGAGCAC
rnacentral:rRNA from 1 species